GGUAGUCCACGCCGUAAACGAUGUCGACUUGGAGGUUGUGCCCUUGAGGCGUGGCUUCCGGAGCUAACGCGUUAAGUCGACCGCCUGGGGAGUACGGCCGCAAGGUUAAAACUCAAAUGAAUUGACGGGGGCCCGCACAAGCGGUGGAGCAUGUGGUUUAAUUCGAUGCAACGCGAAGAACCUUACCUACUCUUGACAUCCAGAGAACUUAGCAGAGAUGCUUUGGUGCCUUCGGGAACUCUGAGACAGGUGCUGCAUGGCUGUCGUCAGCUCGUGUUGUGAAAUGUUGGGUUAAGUCCCGCAACGAGCGCAACCCUUAUCCUUUGUUGCCAGCGGUUNGGCCGGGAACUCAAAGGAGACUGCCAGUGAUAAACUGGAGGAAGGUGGGGAUGACGUCAAGUCAUCAUGGCCCUUACGAGUAGGGCUACACACGUGCUACAAUGGCGCAUACAAAGAGAAGCGACCUCGCGAGAGCAAGCGGACCUCAUAAAGUGCGUCGUAGUCCGGAUUGGAGUCUGCAACUCGACUCCAUGAAGUCGGAAUCGCUAGUAAUCGUAGAUCAGAAUGCUACGGUGAAUACGUUCCCGGGCCUUGUACACACCGCCCGUCACACCAUGGGAGUGGGUUGCAAAAGAAGUAGGUAGCUUAACCUUCGGGAGGGCGCUUACCACUUUGUGAUUCAUGACUGGGGUGAAGUCGUAACAAGGUAACCGUAGGGGAACCUGC
rnacentral:rRNA from 1 species